rnacentral:pre_miRNA from 1 species
AGGAGGAACAACCACGGUGGCGGUGGCCAGCUCUGGAGCCCUGGAUUCAGCCCCCGUAGGAACUCCGGAGCUCUCCGCCUGCAGGGCCUGGAGGCUCUGGGGCAGG